rnacentral:rRNA from 1 species
GCAGCAGCCGCGGGAAUACGUAGGUGGCAAGCGUUGUCCGGAAUUACUGGGCGUAAAGGGCUCGCAGGCGGUUUCUUAAGUCUGAUGUGAAAGCCCCCGGCUCAACCGGGGAGGGUCAUUGGAAACUGGGAAACUUGAGUGCAGAAGAGGAGAGUGGAAUUCCACGUGUAGCGGUGAAAUGCGUAGAGAUGUGGAGGAACACCAGUGGCGAAGGCGACUCUCUGGUCUGUAACUGACGCUGAGGAGCGAAAGCGUGGGGAGCGAACAGGAUUAGAUACCCGCGUAGUCCCUGUCUCUUAUAC